AUGGACAAGGGCAAGAUAUUCGUGAACACCUUCAUGCAGAUCUUCGGCAGCUGGUCUCUUGAGGGGGUCACCGACACGUCCAGCACCAAAGCCAUUUUCAACUCCAGGGUCGGCUUCACUCUGGCGUGGGCCUCACACAAAGCCCAGGGUGCUACCCUGGAGGCCAAGUAUGAAUCCUUCGUGGCCAUGUUCGACAAGUCGCUCUGCAUCAUCGUCGGCAUCCUGAAGGUCCACUCCGGUGAGGAAGUCAAGGGGCCGAUCCCUGCCGGCGAGCUCAAGGCCAUCGACCAGAUCGACGCCGCCUUCAGCACUACAGCCACCACUGCCGAUGCUGCCCCGAUAAAGGACAGGUCCACUGUCUUCGACUCUGCCUUCAGCAAGGCCAUCAAGGAGACCACUGGUGAUGCAUACGAGGCCUACAAGUUUGUCCCUGCCCUCGAGUCCGCCGUCAAGAAGAGCUACACCACGUUUCUUCCCAGGAAUCCCCAGGACAAGCGUACGCUCAUUGAGUCAUUCCUGAGCGACACCAUCAUCUCCAUGGUUGUCCCCGCCCCCGCCACUCCCACCGCCGCCGCCGCUGCCGGUGGCUACAAUGUCUGA
rnacentral:rRNA from 1 species